rnacentral:rRNA from 1 species
CCUACGGGAGGCAGCAGUGGGGGAUAUUGCACAAUGGGGGGAACCCUGAUGCAGCGACGCCGCGUGGGUGAAGAAGCGCCUCGGCGCGUAAAGCCCUGUCAGCAGGGAAGAAAAUGACGGUAUCUGAAGAAGACGACCAGGCUAACUACGUGCCACCAGCCGCGGUAAGACGUAGGGGGCAAGAGGUAUCCGGAUUUAUGGGGGGUAAAGGGGGCGCAGACGGCGGUGCAAGCCAGGUGUGAAAGCCCGGGGCCCAACCCCGGGACUGUUCUUGAAACUGCGUGGCUGGAGUGCAGGAGGGGCAGGCGGAAUUCCUGGUGUAGCGGUGAAAUGCGUAGAUAUCAGGAGGAACACCAGUGGCGAAGGCGGCCUGCUGGACAGCAACUGACGUUGAGGCGCGAAAGCGUGGGGAGCAAACAGGAUUAGAUACCCUUGUAGUC